rnacentral:rRNA from 1 species
ACACUCCUACGGGAGGCAGCAGUGGGGAAUAUUGGACAAUGGGCGCAAGCCUGAUCCAGCCAUGCCGCGUGAGUGAUGAAGGCCCUAGGGUUGUAAAGCUCUUUCACCGGUGAAGAUAAUGACGGUAACCGGAGAAGAAGCCCCGACUAACUUCGUGCCAGCAGCCGCGGUAAUACGAAGGGGGCUAGCGUUGUUCGGAUUUACUGGGCAUAAAGCGCACGUAGGCGGACUAUUAAGUCAGGGGUGAAAUCCCGGGGCUCAACCCCGGAACUGCCUUUGAUACUGGUAGUCUUGAGUUCGAGAGAGGUGAGUGGAAUUCCGAGUGGAGAGGUGAAAUUCGUAGAUAUUCGGAGGAACACCAGUGGCGAAGGCGGCUCACUGGCUCGAUACUGACGCUGAGGUGCGAAAGCGUGGGGAGCAAACAGGAUUAGAAACCCCUGUAGUCCC